rnacentral:misc_RNA from 1 species
CGCACCUUGCACUCCUUGGUAUUCCGAGGAGUAUGCCUGUUUGAGUGUCAUGAAAUUAUCAACUUCAUAGUUUUCUAAUGAGACUAGUACAAAGCUGGUUCACGGCAGAGUCAAUCUCUUAACUAUUGAAGCUUGGACUUGGAAGUUGCUGGCUUUCUAGAGUCAACUCUUCUUAAAUACAUUAGCUACUUGUCCUGUGAGUUGGCUCAGAGUGUGAUAAGUUAUCUACACUUGGUGGCGGCUUACUAUUGGAUGUGGCUUCUAGUCGUCUUUGGACAAUACUUUAAGAUCUGACCUCAAAUCAGGUAGGACUACCCGCUGAACUUAA